GGUGGUUUGUCGCGUUGUUCGUGAAAUCUCACGGCUUAACUGUGAGCGUGCGGGCGAUACGGGCAGACUUGAGUACUGCAGGGGGGACUGGAAUUCCUGGUGUAGCGGUGGAAUGCGCAGAUAUCAGGAGGAACACCGGUGGCGAAGGCGGGUCUCUGGGCAGUAACUGACGCUGAGGAGCGAAAGCGUGGGGAGCGAACAGGAUUAGAUACCCUGGUAGUCCACGCCGUAAACGGUGGGUACUAGGUGUGGGUUUCCUUCCUUGGGGUCCGUGCCGUAGCUAACGCAUUAAGUACCCCGCCUGGGGAGUACGGCCGCAAGGCUAAAACUCAAAGAAAUUGACGGGGGCCCGCACAAGCGGCGGAGCAUGUGGAUUAAUUCGAUGCAACGCGGAGAACCUUACCUGGGUUUGACAUGCACAGGACGCCGGCAGAGAUGUCGGUUCCCUUGUGGCCUGUGUGCAGGUGGUGCAUGGCUGUCGUCAGCUCGUGUCGUGAGAUGUUGGGUUAAGUCCCGCAACGAGCGCAACCCUUGUCUCAUGUUGCCAGCGGGUAAUGCCGGGGACUCGUGAGAGACUGCCGGGGUCAACUCGGAGGAAGGUGGGGAUGACGUCAAGUCAUCAUGCCCCUUAUGUCCAGGGCUUCACACAUGCUACAAUGGCCGGUACAAAGGGCUGCGAUGCCGCGAGGUUAAGCGAAUCCUUUUAAAGCCGGUCUCAGUUCGGAUCGGGGUCUGCAACUCGACCCCGUGAAGUCGGAGUCGCUA
rnacentral:rRNA from 1 species